GGGAUGCAGGAUCGGGACGCGUUGAUGCCCAAGUUUGCCAAAGCGGUGAAGGUUUACAUUGGGAGGAAAUGAAGGCUGCAGGGAGGCCUGGAUCCAGAGUGCAGGCACUGGGUCGACGGGGUUUGCCGGCGUAGGGGCCUGCCCCGCGAGAGCAAAGCACCCAAGGACCCCUGUUGACAAACACGGUACGUUGCCGGGGCGCCCUAGCUCCCGUAGGCCCAGGCUGUUGCUAACAUCAAGGAGCUGUUUAUGGAGCCACCUCCCCGGGGACCAGCCUCCAGUGUCCCUGUCUACUCUCCCUACAACCAAGACUCAUGAGGACCUUCCUCCAGGGUUCCAACCCUAGCUGGACCUGGCAAACUUGAGCUGGGGAAUGUUAACCAGGAUUCUGCUCUUGCCGCUCCAGCCCUGAGGGGAGGGCAGUACCGAAUAUGGCCGCUCUCUCCAACCUGGCACCGAACCGGUUAACCUCCAGCUCCCCGGCCUUCUACAAGGGUUGCCCCACCGCCUCUGAGGGAGGAGGAGUCGCUGCCGGUUCAGUGUUUUCAUUGGUGAAUGUGAUCCGGGGCCUUCCAGAACCCACCAAUCCGGGAGCAGGAAAGGCUUCCCCAUGGGCCGGACCGUGGUCGUGCUGGGUGGAGGCAUCAGCGGCCUGGCCGCCAGUUACCAUCUGAGCCGGGCCCCUUGUCCCCCCAAGGUGGUCUUGGUGGAGGGCAGCGAGCGCCUAGGCGGCUGGAUCCGCUCAAUACGAGGGCCAGAUGGUGCUGUUUUUGAACUUGGACCUCGAGGAAUUCGGCCUGCUGGAGCCCUGGGAGCCCGGACCCUGCUCAUGGUUUCUGAGCUUGGUUUGGACUCAGAAGUGUUACCUGUCCGGGGAGACCAUCCAGCUUCCAAGAACAGGUUCCUGUAUGUAGAUGGUGCCCUGCAUCCCCUGCCCUCUGGCUUCAGGGGGCUAUUCUGCCGUUCACCUCCCUUCUCCAAACCUCUGUUUUGGGCUGGGCUGAGGGAGUUGACCACGCCUCGGGGCAAAGACCCUGAUGAGAGUGUGCACAGUUUUGCCCAGCGUCGCCUUGGUCCUGAGGUGGCGUCUCUAGCCAUGGACAGUCUCUGCCGUGGAGUGUUUGCAGGCAACAGUCGUGAGCUCAGCAUCAGGUCCUGCUUUCCCAGCCUCUUCCAGGCUGAACAAACCCAUCGUUCCGUAUUACUGGGGCUGCUGAUGGGGGCAGGACGGAGUCCACAGCCAGACUCAGCACUUAUUCGCCAGGCUCGGGCUGAACGCUGGAGCCAGUGGUCACUCCGUGGAGGACUGGAGACAUUGCCCCAAGCCCUUAAUGCCCACCUGACUAGUAGGGGUGUCAGUGUUCUCAGAGGCCAGCCAGUCUCUGGGCUCAGCCUCCAGGCAGAAGGGUGCUGGAAGGUGUCUCUAGGGGACAGCAGCCUGGAGGCUGACCACAUUAUUAGUGCUGUUCCAGCUUCAGUGCUCAGCAAGCUGCUCCCUCCUGAGGCUGCACCUCUGGCUCAUGCCCUGAGUACCAUCAAUGCUGUGUCUGUGGCUGUGGUGAACCUGCAGUACCGAGGAGCUCGUCUGCCUGUCCAGGGAUUUGGGCAUUUGGUGCCAUCCUCAGAAGACCCAGUCAUCCUGGGAAUCGUGUAUGACUCAGUUGCUUUCCCUGAGCAGGAUGGAAGCCCUUCUGGCCUCAGAGUGACUGUUAUGCUGGGAGGUUCCUGGUUACAGACACUAGAAGCCAGAAGCUGUGUCUUAUCCCAGGAGCUGUUCCAACAGGAGGCAGAGAAAGCAGUUGCCACACAGUUAGGUUUAAAGGAGCCACCAAGUCACUGCUUGGUCCAUCUACACAAGGACCAUAACUAAUCAGAUGGAGGAGACUUAAAGAUAACAGAAUGGGAAGCAGCAUGCAAAGCCUGACCUGGGUGGACUGAAAAGACUAAGCGAGAGGAAUAGGCACAGUGCAGGACCAGGCAGCUAAAGACUUGUUAAAACAUCAGGUCAAACCAGGACCUUCCUCGGGCCGUGACUGACCGACAGGCUGAUACAUCCGAAGACCUAUUCCCCCUUGCUGGACUGAACGCCUUUCCCAGUGUGUCUUCCUCCGCAACGUACUGCCGCUUACUGUCAAAAUUGUUUCUCUCUCAGGGUACAAUGUUGCAGACUGCUCUGCUCUGGCGCAUUUUUGUAUCCCCAAGAUGUCCCGCAGGCCUUGAAAUAGAAGUGGUUAAUAAAACAAGGAAAUAUCGAGUGUGAA